rnacentral:rRNA from 1 species
CGCUCCAAUGGCGUAUAUUAAAAUUGUUACGGCUAAAGAGUUCGCAGUUGCAUUCAUGCAGAGAAAGACCGGUCCGCCCUCCUGGGUGAGCAUCUGGCUCGGUCUUGGCAUUUGCUUGUUGAACGUAGUUGCACUUGAUUGUGUGGCGCAGUGCCCAGGAUUUUUAUUUUGAGGACAUUAGAGUGUUGCAAGCAGGCGUACGCCUUGAAUGCAUUGGCAUGGAAUAAUAAGAUAGGACCUCGGUUCUGUUUUGUUGGUUUCUAGAGUUGAGGUGAUGGUUAAUAGGGAUAAUUGGGGUCAUUAGCAUUUGAUUGUCAGAGGUGAAAUCCUUGGAUUUGUUGAAGACGGAUUAUUGCGAAGGCAUUUACCAAGGACGUUC